rnacentral:rRNA from 1 species
AACGAACGCUGGCGGCAUGCCUAACACAUGCAAGUCGAACGAGACCUUCGGGUCUAGUGGCGCACGGGUGCGUAACGCGUGGGAACCUGCCCUUAGGUUCGGAAUAACUCCCCGAAAGGGGUGCUAAUACCGGAUAAUAUCUUCGGACCAAAGAUUUAUCGCCUUUGGAUGGGCCCGCGUUGGAUUAGCUUGUUGGUAGGGUAAAAGCCUACCAAGGCGACGAUCCAUAGCUGGUCUGAGAGGAUGAUCAGCCACACUGGGACUGAGACACGGCCCAGACUCCUACGGGAGGCAGCAGUGGGGAAUAUUGGACAAUGGGCGAAGGCAUGAUCCAGCAAUGCCGCGUGAGUGAUGAAGGCCUUAGGGUUGUAAAGCUCUUUUACCCGGGAUGAUAAUGACGGUACCGGGAGAAUAAGCUCCGGCUAACUCCGUG